rnacentral:rRNA from 1 species
UACGUAGGGGGCUAGCGUUGUCCGGAAUUACUGGGCGUAAAGCGUGCGCAGGCGGCUUUGCAAGACAGAUGUGAAAUCCCCGGGCUUAACCUGGGAACUGCAUUUGUGACUGCAUGGCUGGAGUGCGGCAGAGGGGGAUGGAAUUCCCGGUGUAGUGGUGAAAUGCGUAGAUAUCGGGAGGAACACCAGUGGCGAAGGCGACUACCUGGCCUGUUCUUGACGCUGAGGCGCGAAAGCUAGGGGAGCAAACGGG